rnacentral:rRNA from 1 species
AGUGGCGCAGUUAACGCGAUAAGUCGACCGCCUGGGGAGUACGGCCGCAAGGUUAAAACUCAAAUGAAUUGACGGGGGCCCGCACAAGCGGUGGAGCAUGUGGUUUAAUUCGAUGCAACGCGAAGAACCUUACCUACCCUUGACAUCCAGAGAAGUUGGCAGAGAUGCCUUCGUGCCUUCGGGAACUCUGAGACAGGUGCUGCAUGGCUGUCGUCAGCUCGUGUUGUGAAAUGUUGGGUUAAGUCCCGUAACGAGCGCAACCCUUGUCCUUAUUUGCCAGCGAGUAAAGUCGGGAACUCUAAGGAGACUGCCGGUGACAAACCGGAGGAAGGUGGGGACGACGUCAAGUCAUCAUGGCCCUUACGGGUAGGGCUACACACGUGCUACAAUGGCCGGUACAAAGGGUUGCGAGACCGCGAGGUGGAGCGAAUCCCAGAAAGCCGGCCUCAGUCCGGAUCGGAGUCUGCAACUCGACUCCGUGAAGUCGGAAUCGCUAGUAAUCGUGAAUCAGAAUGUCACGGUGAAUACGUUCCCGGGCCUUGUACACACCGCCCGUCACACCAUGGGAGUGGACUGCACCAGAAGUGGUUAGCUUAACCUUCGGGAGAGCGAUCACCACGGUGUGGUUCAUGACUGGGGUGAAGUCGUAACAAGGUAGCCGUAGGGGAACCUGCGGCUGGA